rnacentral:rRNA from 1 species
CGGGUGAGUAAUGCGUGACCAACCUGCCCCAUGCUCCAGAAUAGCUCUUGGAAACGGGUGGUAAUGCUGGAUGCUCCAACUUGACGCAUGUCUUGUUGGGAAAGUGUUUAGUGGCAUGGGAUGGGGUCGCGUCCCAUCAGCUUGUAGGCGGGGUAAUGGCCCACCUAGGCUUCGACGGGUAGCCGGCCUGAGAGGGCGGACGGCCACAUUGGGACUGAGAUACGGCCCAGACUCCUACGGGAGGCAGCAGC